GGUUAAGCGACUAAGCGUACACGGUGGAUGCCCUGGCAGUCAGAGGCGAUGAAGGACGUGCUAAUCUGCGAUAAGCGUCGGUGAGGUGAUAUGAACCGUUAUAACCGGCGAUUUCCGAAUGGGGAAACCCAGUGUGUUUCGACACACUAUCAUUAACUGAAUCCAUAGGUUAAUGAGGCGAACCGGGGGAACUGAAACAUCUAAGUACCCCGAGGAAAAGAAAUCAACCGAGAUUCCCCCAGUAGCGGCGAGCGAACGGGGAGGAGCCCAGAGCCUGAAUCAGUGUGUGUGUUAGUGGAAGCGUCUGGAAAGGCGCGCGAUACAGGGUGACAGCCCCGUACACAAAAAUGCACAUAUUGUGAGCUCGAUGAGUAGGGCGGGACACGUGGUAUCCUGUCUGAAUAUGGGGGGACCAUCCUCCAAGGCUAAAUACUCCUGACUGACCGAUAGUGAACCAGUACCGUGAGGGAAAGGCGAAAAGAACCCCGGCGAGGGGAGUGAAAAAGAACCUGAAACCGUGUACGUACAAGCAGUGGGAGCCUCUUAAUGGGGUGACUGCGUACCUUUUGUAUAAUGGGUCAGCGACUUAUAUUCUGUAGCAAGGUUAACCGAAUAGGGGAGCCGAAGGGAAACCGAGUCUUAACUGGGCGUUAAGUUGCAGGGUAUAGACCCGAAACCCGGUGAUCUAGCCAUGGGCAGGUUGAAGGUUGGGUAACACUAACUGGAGGACCGAACCGACUAAUGUUGAAAAAUUAGCGGAUGACUUGUGGCUGGGGGUGAAAGGCCAAUCAAACCGGGAGAUAGCUGGUUCUCCCCGAAAGCUAUUUAGGUAGCGCCUCGUGAAUUCAUCUCCGGGGGUAGAGCACUGUUUCGGCAAGGGGGUCAUCCCGACUUACCAACCCGAUGCAAACUGCGAAUACCGGAGAAUGUUAUCACGGGAGACACACGGCGGGUGCUAACGUCCGUCGUGAAGAGGGAAACAACCCAGACCGCCAGCUAAGGUCCCAAAGUCAUGGUUAAGUGGGAAACGAUGUGGGAAGGCCCAGACAGCCAGGAUGUUGGCUUAGAAGCAGCCAUCAUUUAAAGAAAGCGUAAUAGCUCACUGGUCGAGUCGGCCUGCGCGGAAGAUGUAACGGGGCUAAACCAUGCACCGAAGCUGCGGCAGCGACACUAUGUGUUGUUGGGUAGGGGAGCGUUCUGUAAGCCUGUGAAGGUGGCCUGUGAGGGUCGCUGGAGGUAUCAGAAGUGCGAAUGCUGACAUAAGUAACGAUAAAGCGGGUGAAAAGCCCGCUCGCCGGAAGACCAAGGGUUCCUGUCCAACGUUAAUCGGGGCAGGGUGAGUCGACCCCUAAGGCGAGGCCGAAAGGCGUAGUCGAUGGGAAACAGGUUAAUAUUCCUGUACUUGGUGUUACUGCGAAGGGGGGACGGAGAAGGCUAUGUUGGCCGGGCGACGGUUGUCCCGGUUUAAGCGUGUAGGCUGGUUUUCCAGGCAAAUCCGGAAAACCAAGGCUGAGGCGUGAUGACGAGGCACUACGGUGCUGAAGCGACAAAUGCCCUGCUUCCAGGAAAAGCCUCUAAGCAUCAGGUAACAUCAAAUCGUACCCCAAACCGACACAGGUGGUCAGGUAGAGAAUACCAAGGCGCUUGAGAGAACUCGGGUGAAGGAACUAGGCAAAAUGGUGCCGUAACUUCGGGAGAAGGCACGCUGAUAUGUAGGUGAAGCGACUUGCUCGUGGAGCUGAAAUCAGUCGAAGAUACCAGCUGGCUGCAACUGUUUAUUAAAAACACAGCACUGUGCAAACACGAAAGUGGACGUAUACGGUGUGACGCCUGCCCGGUGCCGGAAGGUUAAUUGAUGGGGUUAGCGGUAACGCGAAGCUCUUGAUCGAAGCCCCGGUAAACGGCGGCCGUAACUAUAACGGUCCUAAGGUAGCGAAAUUCCUUGUCGGGUAAGUUCCGACCUGCACGAAUGGCGUAAUGAUGGCCAGGCUGUCUCCACCCGAGACUCAGUGAAAUUGAACUCGCUGUGAAGAUGCAGUGUACCCGCGGCAAGACGGAAAGACCCCGUGAACCUUUACUAUAGCUUGACACUGAACAUUGAGCCUUGAUGUGUAGGAUAGGUGGGAGGCUUUGAAGUGUGGACGCCAGUCUGCAUGGAGCCGACCUUGAAAUACCACCCUUUAAUGUUUGAUGUUCUAACGUGGGCCCCUAAUCGGGGUUGCGGACAGUGUCUGGUGGGUAGUUUGACUGGGGCGGUCUCCUCCUAAAGAGUAACGGAGGAGCACGAAGGUUGGCUAAUCCUGGUCGGACAUCAGGAGGUUAGUGCAAUGGCAUAAGCCAGCUUGACUGCGAGCGUGACGGCGCGAGCAGGUGCGAAAGCAGGUCAUAGUGAUCCGGUGGUUCUGAAUGGAAGGGCCAUCGCUCAACGGAUAAAAGGUACUCCGGGGAUAACAGGCUGAUACCGCCCAAGAGUUCAUAUCGACGGCGGUGUUUGGCACCUCGAUGUCGGCUCAUCACAUCCUGGGGCUGAAGUAGGUCCCAAGGGUAUGGCUGUUCGCCAUUUAAAGUGGUACGCGAGCUGGGUUUAGAACGUCGUGAGACAGUUCGGUCCCUAUCUGCCGUGGGCGCUGGAGAACUGAGGGGGGCUGCUCCUAGUACGAGAGGACCGGAGUGGACGCAUCACUGGUGUUCGGGUUGUCAUGCCAAUGGCACUGCCCGGUAGCUAAAUGCGGAAGAGAUAAGUGCUGAAAGCAUCUAAGCACGAAACUUGCCCCGAGAUGAGUUCUCCCUGAGACUUAGAGUCUCCUGAAGGAACGUUGAAGACGACGACGUUGAUAGGCCGGGUGUGUAAGCGCAGCGAUGCGUUGAGCUAACCGGUACUAAUGAACCGUGAGGCUUAACCUU
rnacentral:rRNA from 1 species